AAGAAUUGAUCCUUGUGGGACUCCAGUUUGAAUUAAUAUUUCUUUUGACCUAACUUGAUUAUAUUUGACUAUAAAUUUAAAGAGCGCCGCAACGGCUGAAUAACCCUUGAUUGGGGCUUAUGGCCCUCAAAAAUUACGGUCCUAGGGCCCGGCUAAUUUACCGCCAAGAACAAAUUAUUAUGGAAGUCUUAUUUUCCAUGCAGACUCAUCCAAACAUUCGCGCGCAUUUGCCAGCAUCAUAUUUACGUCUG